ensembl:lncRNA
UGGAUAUUUUACUGAUAUAUAUGGAAUCACUUUAGAUAUUUUUAGGAUUUUUUUUUGAAUAUUUUACUCAUUUUUUGAAAAUAUUUACAAGAAUUUUCUUGCCAAAUUUGGGGGAUUUUUUAAAAAUAAAACUUUUAAGGGAAACUUUUAAGGAAUUAUUGGAAUUUUCAUCCUGAAGGUUUUGAAAUUUGGGGAAUUUUUUUUCUGAAUUUUUGUAUUUUUUUCAGACAAGGAAACCAUAUUUUUUGGUGCCCGUGAAUGAGGACAACAGGAGGGUUAAUCAAAACAAAACCACUUAAAUGUGUUUUGUUUUCUUUAUUUGUGCACAAAAUCAGUUUGGAUUGUGAAGAUUUUACACUAAUAUUUAUGUAAUUUAUUGUAAAAGUAUGUGAUUUUCCCCUUAAAGUCCUAAAAGAUAAGAUUCUUCAGUUUAAUGCACACAAGAUAAUAGAUUAUAUUAACAUUUCAGAUCAGCCACAACACUAAAACCACAGGCAGGUGAAGUAAAUCACAUGGAUUAUUAAAGAUUAAUGAGAUUAAAGAAGCCUUUAUCAUCAAUGCACAUGAAAAUACAAUGAAAUUCUGCUCGUCGUAGUGGACACUUUUUAAGAAAACGUCACAACUGGAUAAAUAGAAUGUAAGACUAUAUAUAUGGAAAUAUAUAUAAAAAUUGUGAUUAUAAUGCAGUUUUCUGUUGGAAACCUUGAGUCCUGGCAUUCAUGUGGAAGUUGCUUUGACAAGAGCCACCCAUUAAAACGUUCUUUAGUCACGUCCCAACAGAAGAAGCCUUCCUCCGCUGAAACAAUCUGCCCUACUAAACUGUAAAACUGCUCAGGAAUGACUCGAGGAACACGACCAAGAGCCUCAAGACUCCCCAGAUCACAAGCUGGGAACAAGCUUGAUCCAUGGCGACAGAAUCAGCUGUCAAAGCACCAGAGUCUGACACCACAGGACACCUCUAGAUGUCCAUAUUUCAGUGGGUCAAAGCUGUUUUGGCAGCACAAAAAGAACCUACACAAUAAUAAUGUUUUAAUUAAUGUUGUGGCUCGUUGCUGUGACUCCUGCACAAGAUCUCAGAUCAAUAACUUGGUUGUAAAAGUAUUUAAUCUCAUGUUUAAAGGCCAGAUUAGCUCGUUAGCUUUGAAAUCAGCUGACUGGUUCAUCUGGGGCUCAGUUGCCAAUUUUGGCCUGAUGUCUGCACAAGAUUAAAAUAAGCUCUGUGAACUUCAGGAUCACUGGAAGAACAGGUUUUGAAUUCUGUUCAAUAGAACUGCAACGAUUAAUCGAUUAUUUGUCAACUGUUACAUUAAUCACUGACUGAUUUGAUAGUUAAAUUAUUGGUUUGAGUCAUUUUUUACUUAAACAAAUAGCUGAAUUCUCUGAUUUAAACUUCUUAAAUGUGAUUAUUUUCUGCUUUCUUUCCUUCUCUACAACAGUAAACUAAAUAUUUUUGUGCUGAGGACAAAACAAGACAUUUGUUAUCUUGGGCUUUUUCACAAUUUUCUGAUAUUUUAGAGACCAAUUAAUAAUCACAGAUAAUAGUUAGUUGCAGCCAGAUACGGCAACAUUACAACCCUGAUGUUGGUUCUCAGAACAGGUUAAACCGCAGCGUUGUGUUUCAUUUCUGGCACGAAAGGCGAGUGUAAAGUGAAGCAAAACCAAACCACAUGUCAGCUGCGUUCAUCGUAUUUGAUGCUUCAGCAGCGGCAGCAUUUUAAUAGCACAGAAAUCAAGGCUGAGCUUCAAAAUUCAGCAUUAAACACAAGAUUUUACAAUGAAAUUACAAAAAUAGUCCCUCACAGAAGAAGGCAAAUCAUUUUGAGAGUAAAUAAUUACUUUUGUGGUGAAACGUAGAAAGUAUAAUCAGAAAUCUCACAUUUUGAAGAAAAAACUGCAUUAAAGUCGACCGCAGAGAGUUUAUUAAACAGGUAGACAUUAAAAUCCAUAACAACUGAAGAUGUAAUGAUUCAUUUUAAGCUUAAAAGUGUUAAAUUUGUGAGGUCAGAUACCAGUGUGGCGAGUAAAUAAUGCAGAUUACUUGCAGUAAUGGACUAAUUAUGGUGAUAUUCUGAUAUAAGAUCCAAAAAGCGACUAAAUCAACCCAUUUAAAGAGAGAACAUCCACUGAUUCCUGCUCUUUAAGGCUCCCUCUGCUACAGAUGGAUGUCUAAGAAAAGAAAAGCAGCUCUGCAGAGUCUCUGAGGUCCUUCCUUCCUCACCUCCUCUCUCAUGUCACCCAUCGCUUCCAUCAAAGAGCAGCUGCUGGGUCUCUGGUUAGUGUGGAAAUGUCUGGUUCCCGUGGCGACGGCGAAGCUGUCAGACGCAGGAAACGCUCCUUUAAACUGCUCCCAUCAUUCUGAAUGUAAAUAAAGCAUGAGAUACUACGGCCUGCUUUCAUUUCUACUACAGUUAGAGGGUUAAUAUAUAAGGUAGGUCGACGUUUUGUUCCUGUCCUUGAGCUCAUGGUCAUUUUUCUUUCUUUUUCUUACUUUUUUUUCCUUAUUUUCAAUCAAUGUGAAUGAUAUUUAAAGCUGUCGUUGUGUUUUAGAGAAUCAAGCCAGCUUAUAUGAGAUCUUUUUACACGUUCGGAGGUUCUGAUCUCAUCCAUCUCAAUGUUUUUUAGACCGGUGCAGGUAAAGGCAACGUUCAUUUGAUGCUAAACAUUACAGUGAGCUACGUGUGUCACUGCCUUGUUGAAAACUCACCAAUGGAAAAAUGUUGUUUGUUGAGCCUCUCAUUCUGGGAGGCGUAGAAGAUCAAAAAUAAAAGUGUUUUGAAAGGUU